CAUGCAUGAAUGAACUGAUCUUUUGAUGUAACAGACUCAGAACAUGAUUCCUCAGUCUAUACUUACCAGCUUGGAAUAUUUUGCGGCAAUGGAUUAUUAGUUCUAUUAUAUUCCCCCACUUUAUUCCCCUAAUACCAGUAUAUAAUAUUACAUGCAAAGCCCACAACGAAAACCCCCCUUCUGACAUCCGUCCAGAUUUCUGCAAUCGGCGAGACGAAUGCGGCGGCUGCGAAAAGGCCGUUGUUUUUCAAAAUGUCGUUGGUGGUGCAUGAACGGGGACCCUGUAUAUUGUGAACAAUAUUCAGACUAUUAUCUUAGGGCACGAUCAAUGAGUCUCUCUAUCCCGCUGAUUUAGCCAACAAGGCUCUGAGCUGGAGUGGGGACCAGAAGAACAAAAAAAAGGAUGAAGAAGCAUUGCAUACAUCGGAGCGGACAUCUAGAGACUGACUACUGUUACAUACAGGCUGAUAUGAAACGCUGCCCAGUUGCCUGUCAAGAGACUUGGUGUUUUAUCGUAUGUUUGUGUCCCUCUGGAUAGUGAAGAAGGUUGAUCCGGACGAAACAAGAAGCAGGUAAAAUGUUAGUAAUACGGAUAAUCUUAAUGGGAAAUCUAAUAUGGGCCCCUUAGCGGGGAACCUGCAUAGCUAAUCGAAAAAUCUCGCGCAAGGGGACUCUAAAUGAAUUAAAGUGUUCCAAAUAGGUGGGGAUAGAACAGGGUGAAAGUAAAUGUGGUAGAAAAAACCGAGUUGAUGGUAGUCAAGGAUUCGCAAUAACAUUCACGUUAUGACGGAAUAUCAAAAUUUGCUCUUACCAGAGCCUCUAUGUCAACCAAUCAAAUAGCCUUGCCUUCAAAAGUUCAAAUGCCC
rnacentral:sRNA from 2 species